AUGGCGGCGCCCACAGAAAGCGUGGGUGAAACGCCAGCAAAUUAAAAAAGACAAAAAAAAAACAAAAGUCAAGCAGAAGAGACUGAACUGUUGACAGUGCCAGAUGGCUGGAAAGAGCCUGCGUUCACCCAAGCGGACAAUCCAAAAGGUUUAUUGGAGGAGAGCAGCUUUGCCACACUUCCCCAAGUACAGAGAAGCGUUUCUGAAAGAAUGCUGGCCGCUGGUGCAAAAAGCACUCGGAGAUAUUUUCAUCAGUGCCACACUGGACCAGAUUGAAGGCAGUAUGACUGUGAACACCACCAAGAAGUCGUUCGAGCCCUACGCCAUCCUCAGAGUGAGAGAUCUCAUCAAGAAGUGUGCCGUUUCAACAGGCUGUUAGGAUACUUGAAGAUGACAUGGCAUGUGAUAUAAAAAUCGGGACUCUAAUGUGAAACAGAGAGCGUUUUGUGAAGAGAAGACAGAGACUGAGCAGAUGAUAGACACUGGAGCUUCUCACCAACUGUUACGUUAUGGUUCAGAGAAACACGGUUUCUGCUCUGGGACCGUACCGCGGUUUAAAAGAAGUGAGAACAUCUGUCCAUAUUUGUUGACAAACACAUGAUCAAACUAAGCUCUUUGUGUUUUUACCUCAAUGAGUACCUUCCUAAUAAAUAGUACAUUGUGUUUAGUUGAUUGCUUGAUAGCGCAGAUGAUAUAUAUGCCUUUUUUUUUUUUUUUAUACAUGUUUUGCACUGAUUUUGUGCAACAACAACAACAACAAAAAACUGCUGCAUUUUGCAGAGUAGAUUUAAACAUGGCAAAAUGGUUUUGUGUUGGCCUAAUAAUUAUUUAGCGCUCUCGCUCUUUUCUACAAGUAUGGAAAGUCUUACUGGACACGAUGAAGAACAUUCACCCCAUUUACAACAUAAAGGUACAUAGAAACGCUGGAGUCUUGAGUAUCUUAUUUGCAAAUCAAGCAUUACUUUGUAAAGUGUGUCUAAUGUGCUGUGGUCUGGGCUUGUAACUGAAAGGUUGGUGGUUCAAACCCCACAUGAGUGGUUUUAAUUAGAAGUAGACCGAUAUAUCGGUUUUACCAAUUAAUCGUGCCAAUAGUUGCUUUUUGGAACUAUCGUUAUCGGCAAAAAUCUAUACCGAUAGUUUUUUCAUAAUUUUGUAAUUUCAAAAUAAGAGUCCCCGGUGUAUUUUAGGCUUGUUUAUACUGAGUCCCGUGUUAUGCGUCACAUCUUUAUUUUUUCUAGUUAUUAUUGGGAUUUUGGUUGAACAAUAAACUGCAUCUGGGAUUAUAUUCAUUUUUGACUCUUUGUCCGUGCUCGUCAUAGUAAAGAAAGAAUAAUUAAACUUUUUGUCAUUCUAUAAAUUGAUUUUUGAAAACUAUUGGUCGAUUAAUCGGUUAUCUGCCUUUCCCAUCAUCUUAGUUAUGGGUAUCGGCAAAAUCCGCUAUUGGUUGACCUCUAGUUUUAAUAAACUCUUUGUUUGCCAACGAUUAAGACACUUAACCUCAUGUUACUCUAAAUGAACUGUUUCUAUAAUACUGUAUGUACUGUAACUAUACGUCACUUUCUAUAAACGUGUUGUUUGUUUAAACACACACGAUUCAAUCCGUUCAGACGCUAAUGAUCAAACGCGAGCUCGUGAACGACCCAGAGCUGUGCACUCAGAACUGGAAGAGAUUCCUGCCCAACUUCCUUCAUAAGAGUCUAUCCAAAAUGCAAACAGCUCAAGAAGAAGGCGGCGAAGGGGUACACGCCGUUCCCCCCACCUCAGCCCAAGUGCAAGAAGAAACAGGCUGAAGUUUUAUCAAAGAGACAAGAGGAGCGGCAGAAAGCUUUUAUUCCUCCUAAAGAGAAACCAGCGCUGAAGAAGACCAAACGUUCUUUUCCAUACAAUGAAAGUGAAUCAGGGCUGAGCGGCAACAAUAACGAAGAAGAACACCAAAGAUUUCUGAUGCAUAACCUGAUAUGAUCUUUCGAUCUCUUCAUUGCAGCUAAAACAGAAAACAAAAUAGAUGUUCAAAUCAUCGAAGAAAAAGUGAAGAAGGCAAAAUCUAAAAAGCUUGGUGCUUCUCCGGUGAACCUCAAAACGCCUUCAGUUAAAGACAAGAAACAGAAGAAUAUCAAGAACUAACCUGAUUCACUUGUGUUUGAACUCUAUUGGACUUUUGCGAACCCUGGUGAAACAUUCUCACCACCAUCAAUUAAUGAUGAAUCAUGAGCUCUUGGGGUUUAUAUAAAAUGUGUUAUAAAAGAUGUGUUUGUAUAAAAAGGUCUGUUUUGCAUGCUUAUCUGCUUUCAACAUUAUUUUCAAACUGUUCAAAACAUUUGGGACUUGAAGAUGAGACACUCAAGCACUGUCGAUAUGAGAUGAUGUGAAUUAACUGAAUGAAAACACAAGAUCAACAAAAAUGUCCCUUCAACCACAUUAAUGCAAAUUUGUCACAUUAUUUUCACUUUAAAAUAAUGUGUAGAGAUUGAUAGUUUGGUACUGUCAGGAGCAAUUAAAAACAAUGACCACCAAUUGGCAUGGAUUUGUUUAAACGAAGCACUUAACAUCCAGACAUUGUCAUGUGACAGACUGUGAGCUUAUAUAAUUUUUUUACAUGGCUUUGGAAAUCCAAGUCUGUGAGAUUAAUAUGUAAGCCCGUAAACACAAGGCAGAACUUUAUUCCCUUUCCCAAUGGAAGCCCGUUUCCGCAGAGGAGUAAAUGGCUGUUACCACAAAAAAUCAUUUAGACUCGUCCCGCCUUUUCUUUAUAAAAAGCAAAAAUCGUGGUUACAGUGAGGCACUUAGAGUGCAAGUCAAUGGGGCCAAUCCAUAAAUAUUAAAAUACUCACUGUUUCAAAAGUAAAGCCACAAGAAGAAACAAUGUGUUAACUUGAUUUUAUUGUGAUAAAAUCACUUGACACUUUUCUGUGUAGUUAUAGCCAAGUUGUCAUGAUGCUGUAAAUUCUAAAACCCAAAAUGAAAAUAAAAAUGACGAUUUAAACAAC